UGGGGAAUAUUGCACAAUGGGCGCAAGCCUGAUGCAGCCAUGCCGCGUGUAUGAAGAAGGCCUUCGGGUUGUAAAGUACUUUCAGUCGGGAGGAAGGUGGUAAGGUUAAUAACCUUAUCAAUUGACGUUACCGACAGAAGAAGCACCGGCUAACUCCGUGCCAGCAGCCGCGGUAAUACGGAGGGUGCAAGCGUUAAUCGGAAUUACUGUGCGUAAAGCGCACGCAGGCGGUUGAUUGAGUCAGAUGUGAAAUCCCCGGGCUUAACCCGGGAAUUACAUCUGAUACUGGUCAGCUAGAGUCUUGUAGAGGGGGGUAGAAUUUCAUGUGGAGCGGUGAAAUGCGUAGAGAAGUGGAGGAAUACCGGUGGCAAAGGCGGCCCCCUGGACAAAGACUGACGCUCAGGUGCGAAAGCGUGGGGAGCAAACAGG
rnacentral:rRNA from 1 species